UAAGGUAGCGAAAUUCCUUGUCGGGUAAGUUCCGACCUGCACGAAUGGCGUAACGACUUCCCCACUGUCUCCAGCAUCGACUCAGCGAAAUUGAAGUCCCCGUGAAGAUGCGGGGUACCCGCGGUCAGACGGAAAGACCCCGUGAACCUUUACUAUAGCUUUGCACUGGUGUUAGGAAUCAGAUGUGCAGGAUAGGUGGGAGACUACGAAGCGAAGGCGUCAGCCUUUGUGGAGUCACCCUUGAGAUACCACCCUUUUGGUUCUUGACAUCUAACCGAGAUCCUUGAAUCAGGAUCCGAGACAAUGCAUGGUAGGUAGUUUGACUGGGGCGGUCGCCUCCCAAAGAGUAACGGAGGCGUGCGAUGGUUAGCUCAGGUUGGUCGGAAAUCAACUUUUAGAGUGCAAUGGCAUAAGCUAGCCUGACUGCGAGUCUGACAAGACGAGCAGAGACGAAAGUCGGUCAUAGUGAUCCGGUGGUCCCGAGUGGAAGGGCCAUCGCUCAACGGAUAAAAGGUACGCCGGGGAUAACAGGCUGAUACUGCCCAAGAGUCCAUAUCGACGGCAGUGUUUGGCACCUCGAUGUCGGCUCAUCUCAUCCUGGGGCUGGAGCAGGUCCCAAGGGUAUGGCUGUUC
rnacentral:rRNA from 1 species